AAGACGAGUCUUUCAUAUACUGAGUUUUGAGACGUGUCAAAUAGAUGGCGUGUUGAACUGUUGAUUGUGUCAGUUAUGGGCUUAUGGCGGUUUGCUGUCAAAAGUUAAGCUAUCUUUUCUUCGAAAAUAACCAAUGAAUUCAUAGGAGGAAACGUCUAGGAGUAGUGCAGCCUACUGUCAACUAUUUUGUUCAAAAUCAUUGUAUAUUUUACUGAAUGUGCCAUUGAAAUGAUACAGGAUUCAUCAUAAUUGUCCGCUGUUUGUAUUGGACUUGCAAGAUUACCUACCCCAGCAUGGAUCAAUCGCUCAUUCCAUCUUCUAGAGAACCUUGGAUAACUGAUUGAUGGUUUCAUGUGUUCUAAACUGCUGGUUUCUAAAUUUGCAUGGCAGAUUUUAUGAAAAGUCCUGUCAUUUCAAGAAAAGUCAACAAGGUCUGUUGUUUGCUGACCUGUUGGCUGCUACCUUGAAUCCUCCUUGUUGACUUCUUUACACAGGCCCUCCUGAUUUGAGGGUAAUCCUUCGCUACUGAUCAUGGACUUCAUCCAUUGGUGACAACCGACGAGAGAAUACUGUAAUUGAAGACAGAUCAAUUGUUUAGUUAGAUCAAAUUACAAGUGCAUAUCUGGGCUCCCUUCUUUUCUGUGGCCCCGUUUCCCUAACUAACCACUAACCAACGCCCGCCGGUGGUCACUCACCCGCUGUGAACCCAGGAGGAGGGGAGGGCUCU
rnacentral:lncRNA from 1 species